rnacentral:rRNA from 1 species
AACGAACGCUGGCGGCAGGCCUAACACAUGCAAGUCGAGCGAGGUAGCAAUACCUAGCGGCGGACGGGUGAGUAACGCGUGGGAACGUGCCCCUUGGUACGGAAUAGCCCCGGGAAACUGGGAGUAAUACCGUAUGAGCUCUACGGAGGAAAGAUUUAUCGCCAAGGGAUCGGCCCGCGUCGGAUUAGGUAGUUGGUGGGGUAAUGGCCUACCAGGCCGACGAUCCAUAGCUGGUUUGAGAGGAUGAUCAGCCACACUGGGACUGAGACACGGCCCAGACUCCUACGGGAGGCAGCAGUGGGGAAUCUUAGACAAUGGGCGCAAGCCUGAUCUAGCCAUGCCGCGUGAGCGAUGAAGGCCUUAGGGUUGUAAAGCUCUUUCAGCUGGGAAGAUAAUGACUGUACCAGCAGAAGAAGCCCCGGCUAACUACGUGCCAGCCGCCGCCGUAA